GACAAACGGGUCGAAUUAAGAUUUAGAUAGUAAAAAAGGAGGUUAAUAAGAUUUCAGUUAUGUAGAAGAUAACUAGGCUCUUAGUAGAGGUGGAAUUUGAGCUAAGUGAAGAUGUCUUUUGUUUCUUCGUUUUUGAGGCCUCGAAAUCUUAAUAUAAAACCGGGAUUAGAUACCCCGUUAUUUAAGAUGUAAAAUUUGAUUUUUUUAGAAAUUUACUGGAGUAUUACGAGAAAUAGUUGUAUUUGAAAUUUUAGCUAUUGAUAUCUUAAAACUCAAAAGACUUGGCGGUGCCUUAAGUCCUUCUAGGGGAACCUGUCCUGUAAUUGAUAGUCCACGAUUUACCUUACCAUUUUUUGAACGUUUUCAGCUUGUAUACCGUCGUCGCCAGAUGACCUUUAAGAGAGGAGUAGUUAUCAGGGUAGAGAAAGAGUGUUGGUGUAAGUCAUGUAAUGAUGUGAUCUUAAAUUAACUCAUAUCUCUCCACGUCAGAUCAAGGUGCAGCUUAUAGAAUGGGAGAGAUGGGUUACAAUAAUUAGUUAUUAUACAGAUUUCUUUCUGCAAAAUAUAGGAAGAUUGAAGGUGGACUUGGAAGUAAUAAAUGGAAUAGAGAGCUUGUAUGAAGAUGGCUCUAAGGCGUGC
rnacentral:rRNA from 1 species